rnacentral:tRNA from 1 species
GGAUUAGGAAAUUAUUCUUUUGACUGGCAGUCAAGAGGUCGUGGGUUCGAGUCCCAUCUUCUCCA